rnacentral:rRNA from 1 species
GACGAACGCUGGCGGCGUGCUUAACACAUGCAAGUCGAACGCUGAAGCUCAGCUUUUGUUGGGUGGAUGAGUGGCGAACGGGUGAGUAACACGUGAGUAACCUGCCUCCUUCUUUGGGAUAACGCCCGGAAACGGGUGCUAAUACUGGAUAUUCACUGGUCUUCGCAUGGGGGUUGGUGGAAAGGGUUUUUCUGGUGGGGGAUGGGCUCGCGGCCUAUCAGCUUGUUGGUGGGGUGAUGGCCUACCAAGGCUUUGACGGGUAGCCGGCCUGAGAGGGUGACCGGUCACAUUGGGACUGAGAUACGGCCCAGAAUCCUACGGGAGGCAGCAGUGGGGAAUAUUGCACAAUGGGCGCAAGCCUGAUGCAGCGACGCCGCGUGAGGGAUGGAGGCCUUCGGGUUGUGAACCUCUUUCGCUCAUGGUCAAGCCGCAACAAUGGUUGUGGUGAGGGUAGUGGGUAAAGAAGCGCCGGCUAACUACGUG